AUUACCCACAGAGCAACCAUACCGACAUGAUGUGUUGAUGCUGCAGAUGAAUCGAUUACUUGCAUGUCUAAAGAAAAGAAGGCUACCACGCGGCAUGCUAAACGGUCGAGAUAUUCAGGGCCAAACCUCCCAGAGGACAUCUGGUGCCAUGUACAUUCCCUACUUUCAAUGCGAGAUUCUGCUCGUGUUGCCUCUGUAUCUCACACAUUCCUACGCUCAUGGAGGCACCAUCCAAACCUCAUAUUCAGUAAGGAAACAAUGGGCUUGAAACACAAUGCAUGUGAAGGGGGUGAUAUAGCAAGGGCUUUCACUAGCGAAGUUUAUCAGAUUCUGAAAAAACACUCAGGCACUGGCGUGAAGACACUUGAAUUUGACAUCUUUGAUUGUCGCAAUCUCAGCUCUUGUCAUCUCAAUACAUGGCUUCAGAUUGCUAUUACACCAGGGAUUGAAAGUCUCACCCUUAAGCUGCCUUUGAAAUACAAGGAAAGGUACAGCUUCCCGUGCUCACUUUUAUUUGGUGCGAAGGGAAACUCGAUUCAGCAUCUUCACCUCACCUAUUGUGCUUUCCAUCCCCCGAUUGGCAUUGAUUUCUUGAGACGCCUAACAAAGCUCUAUCUAAGAGAAGUGCUAAUUACAGAAGAAGAGUUAGGAUGCCUUCUGUCCAAUUCUUUUGCUUUGGAGCAGUUUGAACUCAUAUAUUGCAGUGAAAUAAUCUGCCUGAAGAUACCAUGCGUGGAGCGACUAAGCUGCGUGACUGUGUCUGAUUGCAAAUGCUGCAAAUGAUAGAGAGCAAAGCUCCAAACCUCUCCGCCUUUGUCUUCGAUGGUGACCUAGUACAGCUGUCACUUGGGCAAUCAUCGCAAGUGAAAAGAACCUGAGUAUGGACUGUGCAAAUGAGUCCAACUUUCUCUGUUAUGCUAUUACCAACCUUCCAUACAUCGUGCCACAAGUUGAAACUAUUUACUUAUCUUCAAUUAGUGAGAUGGUUAAUACACCAAUGCCAGCUGCCAAAUUCCUCCACCUGAAGUACUUGGAAGUUUAUCUUGAUGGCGACCUUUACGCAGGAUAUGAUUACUUGUCUUUGGUUUCUUUUAUCGACGCUUCUCCUGUUUUGGAGACUUUCAUGUUUGGCGUAGAGCAGGGUGAGAUGAUAUUUGAUUCAGUUUUUGGAGAUGACUAAAAUAUGAGGAAGAUGCCUGAACACAAGCAUGACAGCCUCAAGAAUGUGACGAUCUUAGGUUUUUGCUCCGCGAAGAGCAUGGUUGAGCUAGCAUGCCAUAUUCUCGAGAAUACAACAUCACUGGAAUGUCUCACCUUGGACAGCGUAUUUGUAUCAGAAUGAUGAAGACCAUAUUGGCAGGUGUUCUGUCAAUUCUACCCGAAAAAUUGGUGAAUGCUCCCAUCUGACUAAUGAAAUGAUCUUGGAAGCCAAUAACGGGCUCAUGGCCAUCGAAAGAUACAUUGUGGGGAAAGUUCCCUCUGCUGUUAAACUCGAUAUCCGGGGGCCUUGUUGCCGGUGCCAUACUUUGGAGAUCGAUGAUGAGUUAAAUUUUUAACUAUGUCCAUAUCGCGUCUGUUUUAUCUUCCUUUCUUUUC